CUAAGGUAGCGAAAUUCCUUGUCGGGUAAGUUCCGACCCGCACGAAAGGCGUAAUGAUUUGAGCGCUGUCUCGACAAUGCAUCCGGUGAAAUUGAAGUACCAGUGAAGAUGCUGGUUACCUGCGCCAGGACGGAAAGACCCCAUGGAGCUUUACUCCAGUCUGGUACUGGGACUCGGUAUUGCAUGUACAGGAUAGGUGGGAGGCUAGGAGAUGGUAACGCCAGUUGCCAUGGAGCCGCUGUUGGGAUACCACCCUUGCAGUAUUGGGUUUCUAACCAGCCGCCGUGACCCGGCGGUGGGACAAUGCCAGACGGGGAGUUUGACUGGGGCGGUCGCCUCCGAAAGGGUAUCGGAGGCGCCCAAAGGUUCCCUCAGAAUGGACGGAAACCAUUCGAAGAGUGCAAAGGCAGAAGGGAGCUUGACUGCGACACCGACGGGUGGAGCAGGUACGAAAGUAGGGCUUAGUGAUCCGGUGGUAUUAAGUGGGAAUGCCAUCGCUCAACGGAUAAAAGCUACCCUGGGGAUAACAGGCUUAUCACUCCCAAGAGUUCACAUCGACGGAGUGGUUUGGCACCUCGAUGUCGGCUCAUCGCAUCCUGGGGCUGUAGUAGGUCCCAAGGGUUGGGCUGUUCGCCCAUUAAAGCGGUACGCGAGCUGGGUUCAGAACGUCGUGAGACAGUUCGGUCCCUAUCCGGCGUGGGCGCAGGAAAUUUGAGAAGAGCCAUUCCUAGUACGAGAGGACCG
rnacentral:rRNA from 1 species